GAUGAACGCUGGCGGCGUGCCUAAUACAUGCAAGUCGAGCGAACAGACGAGGAGCUUGCUCCUCUGACGUUAGCGGCGGACGGGUGAGUAACACGUGGAUAACCUACCUAUAAGACUGGGAUAACUUCGGGAAACCGGAGCUAAUACCGGAUAAUAUAUUGAACCGCAUGGUUCAAUAGUGAAAGACGGUUUUGCUGUCACUUAUAGCUGGAUCCGCGCCGCAUUAGCUAGUUGGUACGGUAACGGCUUACCAAGGCAACGAUGCGUAGCCGACCUGAGAGGGUGAUCGGCCACACUGGAACUGAGACACGGUCCAGACUCCUACGGGAGGCAGCAGUAGGGAAUCUUCCGCAAUGGGCGAAAGCCUGACGGAGCAACGCCGCGUGAGUGAUGAAGGUCUUCGGAUCGUAAAACUCUGUUAUUAGGGAAGAACAAAUGUGUAAGUAACUAUGCACGUCUUGACGGUACCUAAUCAGAAAGCCACGGCUAACUACGUG
rnacentral:rRNA from 1 species